ensembl:lncRNA
GAAGGACUUCUUGCUUCAUUUGUAAUGCUCUCCAGGGGCAACACUUUUAUGGUCUAAGUUCUACAGGCUGAAGAUUGUUUGUUCCAGCAUCAUCUGUGGACCGGGGCUGUGAUCCUACACAGGAGCGGUGGCAGUGCUAGCUCCAUCAAAGGAUUCCAGGUAUUGUUCCUGAGUUAUAUCUUUCGUAAUGAGCCAGCAAUCUAAUGGAGAAGUCUUGAGGCUACUGUAAGAAUAAGACUGAAAACCAGAGGCAGGAGGCUUAAGUCCAAAACCUGAGAACACCAGAGAACUCCUGACUCCAGGGAAUAUUAAUCAAUAUGAGCUCAUCAAAAGCCUCCAUACCUUCACUGAAACCAAGCACCACCCAAGAGCCAACAAGUUCCAGAGCAAGACAUACUAGGCAAAUUCUCCAGCAACACAGGUACAUGGCCCUGAGCUUCAAUAUACAGGCUUCCCAAAGUCACACCAAGCUCACUGAUACCUCAAAACUCACUACUAGACACUUCAUUGCACUCCAGAGAGAAGAAAUCCAGCUCCACCCACCAGAACACAGACACAAGCUUCCCUAACCAGGAUACCCUGACAAGUCACCCAUCCAACCCUACCCAUAGCAAGGAACCUCCACAAUAAAGAGGAACCACAAACUGCCAGAACACAGAAAAGCCACCCCAAACACAGCAUAUAAACAAGAUGAAAAGGGAGAGAAAUACUCACCAGGUAAAGGAACAGGAAAAAUGCCCACCAAACCAAACAAAAGAGGAAGGGUAGGGAAUCUACCUGAUAAAGAAUUCAGAAUAAUGAUAGUGAAAAUGAUCCAAAAUCUUGAAAAAAAAAAUGAAGUUACAGAUAAAUAUCCUGAAGACAAGGAUUGAGAAGAUGCAAGAAAGGUUUGACAAGGACCUAGAAGAAAUAAAGAAGAGUCAAUAUAUAUAAUGAAUAAUGCAAUAAAUGAGAUCAAAAACACUCUGGAAGGAACCAACAAUAGAAUAACGGAGGCAGAAGAUAGGAUAAGUAAAGUAGAAGAUAGGAUAAGUGAAAUAGAAGAUAGAAUGGUAGAAAUAAAUGAAGCAGAAAGGAAAAAAGAAAAAAGAAUUAAAAGAAAUGAGGACAACCUCAGAG